AUGGGUGGAAAAUGCACAAUGCUUAUUACUAUUUCCAGACCGUCAGCGUCUCUUAAGGACCUGAACUUCACCACAGCUUCAAAAAAUUGCAUCCUGGUGAGAGAGCACAGAGCCUGCUGGAAUCAGUGUGUUCAGCAUUGCCGGAGCAGAGCAUGUGCAGGGAGCGGAGACAGGCAGCAGAGGAUCUGCAGAAAGGUAUCUGAAUUCCCUCAUGAGAAGUGUCCUACCAGUUUCUCAUGUGCAGCCGCACCGUCCAUGGGUAGCAACAGUUUAACUGAUGU
rnacentral:lncRNA from 1 species